CCUACGGGGGGCAGCAGUGAGGAAUAUUGGUCAAUGGCCGGAAGUCUGAACCAGCCAAGCCGCGUGAAGGAUGAAGGUGCCAAGCAUUGUAAACUUCUUUUGUCAAGGGACAAAAUCAGGCUCGAGAGCCUGACCGAGGGUACUUGAAGAAAAAACAUCGGCUAACUCCGUGCCAGCAGCCGCGGUAAUACGGAGGAUCCGAGCGUUAUCCGGAUUUAUUGGGUUUAAAGGGAGAGUAGGCGGGUUGUUAAGUCAGCUGUGAAAGUUUGCGGCUCAACCGUAAAAUUGCAGUUGAUACUGGAAGCCUUGAGUACAGGAGGGGUAGGCGGAAUGCGUGGUGUAGCGGUGAAAUGCUGAGAUAUCACGAAGAACUCCGAUUGCGAAGGCAGUGUGCCGGA
rnacentral:rRNA from 1 species